UGGGUGUCAUUGUGACUGGCUGCUACCUCCCCAUGAGUCUUCUAAAAUAAAACCUGCAAAUUCACAUCUUCCCCAUGCUUCCAGAGAAUGCAUAUUCUUCGUUUGAAAAAAGAAAACCAGGUUGUCGCAGUGUCCAGAAGGCAAAAGGACAAGUAUGCACUGUCCUACUGACCUACUUUCCAUGCUGCUGCACAGGAAAAUCUGACAGAGGACAAUAGCAAACAUCUCACCAGCUCAUGCGCUCUUUUUUGAUCCUAAUUCCAAGGGACUCACCAAAGACAUGAAGAGAAAACAAACAAUACUUUUCUUGGAAAUACUGUAAUUGCUGGUAUAUUUGUUGUUUCUGGCAUAAGGUAGAAAUUGCCCAGUAAACAUUGCUUCCUUUUGGAUCAAAAAGAACUUUAACUAAAUAAAUGCAAGAGGUGUGAGGGAAGAUAAUGGGAAAUAAAUGAGAUUU